ACCAAAGGACAAUGUUCAUUUCUGGCCUGGCGUGGACAAGCUGCUAAUGAAAAUAUGAAUUUGCCAAAAAUUUUUAAUUAAUUUUUAAAGUAUUCACUUAUUGUAACUUUGUAUCAAUUUGCCUUUAUAAAAAUCCAAUUUAAAUAGUACUUUAUGUGAUAAUUACAACUUCCUGUCUUUAACACUCAUUUCAGUGUUGCCAAAAUGAAUCUUAUCGGUAAGAAUCGAUUCAUAUCGAUUGUUGUUUGACUAUGACAAUUAUUAUUUUUUUAAAUACGUAUUCAUUAAAAUGACAUUUAUAAAACCUUCUUAAUAUUCUAAUAACACUACCAAAAAUAUUUAAAUAACUAAAUAAAACCUUAUUUCACACACACCUUAUUAUACACCUUAUUUCGAGUCAUCAAAAAUACAAUCGAUUUUUAUAUCGAUUAUUUUUAUUCAUCACCACAUUAUUAGCAUGGCAACACUGAAAAUAUUGUCACAGCUGUUAUCUGUCAUUCGCUUUGUUUUGUAUUUUUCAUCGUGAGUGUUGUUUAGUUCUCAAAACCAAGUUUUUGCCAAAAUAAAAGCAGAAGAGUGUUGUAUAAGUUUCCCUUUUGACGUCUUUAUUUUUUUGACCAUGGUCCUCGAUGCUUCCCUUCCCGAUGACCCUGGCAUACUCUCGAACUACGAAUCUCACUCAACCAAUGACCAAUGGCUCACUUUCGGCCAUCGAACCUUGCCUAAACGCCGACCACGGCUUACGUAUGGACUCCGACCCGAGCCCCAAUGUUAACCCCAGCCCGAUUUUGGAUAAUGCAACUAGCAAUUCCUCAACCUCAUGAGGAACCUAUGAUAAUGUAUCAAUUGUAUAGCUGACAUGAUGCAGAGGAGGCGACAUAGCCUAGAGCUUAUUAAGUUCAGUUGGUUAUAAUGUCAGUGGAUGACUCCUCAGCUGAUUGGUAACAGCAGUGUAUGUUGUCACUCAUGUUGGACCGUGACCACGGUGUGGCUCUGCACCAAUCAAGGACAAAUAAUAUUUCAAAUGAAGAAGCAACCUCUAGCACUGGUCACUGUUAAUGUGGAUUGUCUUUGUUACAAAUACGUUUCAUAGACUGCAUAUUAACACGGAAAGAGAAUCACAUAUUCGAAAAUAAUGUAAUAAUGGAACAGAUUUCACCUCGUCAACUGCGGGGAUCUGACCAAAUAUGUCAUCCUUAAGUGGCAGUGAGCUGAUUGAGCUGCUACACAUGCUGUGGAGCCCCAACAAACACAUGAUGGGACGAGGAUUCAUUUGCCCUGAUAUUGGCCGAAUAACAGUAGGUUGCUGUGCUCAUGUUAUGACAAUUUUGUGGUUUUUGAGCUGGGCAAGGUAUCAGGAACAUGUAUUUCCACCUGCCUAGUUCCUAGACAAUAUUUUAUUGACCCAUGAGUCAGAUUAAAAUAAUAAUAAUAAAAAAAAAUGGUGUUUUAUUUUGCUUCUAACCUUUCUAGUCUUAAGCAAAAAAAAAUUUUUUUAAGGACUUGGAUACAAAAUGAUAUUUAUAUUCUGUUUCUUACUGGUAUAGACUAUUUAAUAAAUAACAAAUUACAUGCUGUAAUGUCUGUCCACCUCAGGCCAAAGGUCCCAUACUAAGUGGGCAUAACCC